rnacentral:rRNA from 1 species
GAUGAACGCUGGCGGCGUGCUUAACACAUGCAAGUCGAACGGACUUUUAUUGAAGCCUAGCGAUAUAAAGUUAGUGGCGGACGGGUGAGUAACGCGUGAAUAACCUGCCUUAUACUGGGGGACAACAGUUGGAAACGACUGCUAAUACCGCAUAAGCGCACUAAAGCUGCAUGGCUCAGUGUGAAAAACUCCGGUGGUAUAAGAUGGAUUCGCGUCUGAUUAGCUAGUUGGUGAGGUAACGGCUCACCAAGGCGACGAUCAGUAGCCGGCCUGAGAGGGUGAAACGGCCACAUUGGGACUGAGACACGGCCCAAAACUCCUACGGGAGGCAGCAGUGGGGAAUAUUGCACAAAUGGGGGGAAACCCUGAUGCAGCGACGCCGCGUGAGUGAAGAAGUAUUUCGGUAUGUAAAGCUCUAUCAGCAGGAAGGAAAAAUAGACGGGUAACCUGACUAAGAAGCCCCCGGCUAACUAACGUGCCAGCAGCCGCG